rnacentral:rRNA from 1 species
GUGUCAGCAGCCGCGGUAAUACGGAGGGUGCGAGCGUUAAUCGGAAUUACUGGGCGUAAAGCGCAUGCAGGUGGUUUGUUAAGUCAGAUGUGAAAGCCCGGGGCUCAACCUCGGAAUAGCAUUUGAAACUGGCAGACUAGAGUACUGUAGAGGGGGGUAGAAUUUCAGGUGUAGCGGUGAAAUGCGUAGAGAUCUGAAGGAAUACCGGUGGCGAAGGCGGCCCCCUGGACAGAUACUGACACUCAGAUGCGAAAGCGUGGGGAGCAAACAGGAUUAGAUACCCUGGUAGUCCACGCCGUAAACGAUGUCUACUUGGAGGUUGUGGCCUUGAGCCGUGGCUUUCGGAGCUAACGCGUUAAGUAGACCGCCUGGGGAGUACGGUCGCAAGAUUAAAACUUAAAGGAAUUGACGGGG